CUGCCUCAGCCUCCCGAGUAGCUGGGACUACAGGCGCCCACCACCACGCCCGGCUAAUUUUUUGUAUUUUUAGUAGAGAUGGGGUUUCACCGUCUUAGCCAGGAUGGCCUCAAUCUCCUGACCUCGUGAUCCACCUGCCUCGGCCUCCCAAAGUGCUGCAAUUACAAGCGUGAGCCACCACGCCUGGCCUAUAAUGUGCUUUUGACCGGUGCAUAUUAUUCUAUUGUAUUCAUAUGCCAAAGCUUAUCUUUUCCUCUAGUCACAAAUACUUAUAUUUUUCCUAGCUAUUUCCACUUCUGCAAGCUUAUACAUGUCUUCCUAUGAAGGAAGAAUGCCCUUUCAGGAAACCUGCCCUUUCAUUUCUUUGCUAUAUAUGUCCUAGAGUAGAAAGGCUGGAGUUUGAGGUAUAUGCAUAUUUAAUUUAAGUCAUGCUGGAUCGUUCUCAGGAAUGGUUGUCACAGUUUUCCUUUCCACAAGCAAGACCUGAGGGUUUCAUUUUCUCUUCAUUUUCAGUAGCACUUGAUAUUUUCUGAUUUUUGCUAAUCUGAUGUGUAUAAAAUUGUAUUUUUUCUUAAUCUGCAUUAUCUGAUUACUGAUGAAGGUGAGUAUUUGCUUUUUAGUCAUUCCGAUUUUCCAUUCUGUGGAUGGUCUGUACUUAUAAUUUGUCUCUUUUCUAUUAAGUUUUUCUUUCUUGCUGAUUACAGUAUAGUAUAUACAGUGUGUGCAUGUGUGUGUAUAUAUAUGUGUGUGUAUAUAUAUGUGUAUAUAUAUGUGUGUGUGUAUAUAUAUGUGUAUAUAUGUGUGUGUGUGUGUGUAUAUAUAUAUAUAUAUUUUUUUUUUUUUUUUUUUGACACAAGGUCUGGCUCUGUCGCCCAGACUGGAGUGCAGUGGUGUGAUCUCACCUCACUGCAACCUCUACCUCCUGAGCUCAAACCAUCCUCCCACCUCAGCCUCCCAAGUUGCUGGGACUAAAGGCGCGUACCACCACGCUUGGCUAAUUUUUGUGUUUUUUUGUAGAGAUGGGGUUUCUCCAUGUUGCCUAAGCUGGUCUCGAACUCGUGAGCUCAGGAGAUCUGCCUGCCUCUCUGCCCCCAAAGUGGUGGGAUUACAGGUGUGAGCCACUGCUCCCAGCCAAGAAAUUCUUUAUAUGUAGAUACUAUUUUCUUGUCAAGUUCAGAUGUUGGAAAUAACUUGCCAUUUGUUCAUUCUUGUCUUUGUUGUUUUUCAUAUAAUAGAAAUCCCCCCAAUGUUUUAUAUCUUUUAUGUCUUUAUUUUGUUUUGUUUUGUUUUUGAGAUGGAGUUUCCCUCUUGUUGCCCAGGCUGGAGUGCAGUGGCACAGUCUUGGCUCACUGUAACCUCCGCCUCCCGGGUUCAAGCGAUUCUCCUGCCUCAGCCUCCUGAGUACCUGGAACUACAGGCAUAUGCCACCACACCUAGCUAAUUUUUUUUGUAUUUUUAGUAGAGACAGGAUUUCGCCAUGUUGGCCAGGCUGGUCUCGAACUCCUGACCUCAGGUGGGCGGAUCGCGAGGUCAGGAAAUUGAGACCAUCCUGGCUAACACGGUGAAACCCAGUCUCUACUAAAAACACACACACACACAAAAAUUAGCCGGGCGUGGUGGUGGGCACCUGUAGUCCCACCUACUCGGGAGGCUGAGGCAGGAGAAUGGCGUGAACCCGGGAGGCGGAGCUGGCAGUGAGCUGAGAUCGCGCCACUGCACUCCAGCCUGGGUGACAGAGCGAGACUCCGUCUCAAAAAAAAAAAGAAUAUUUACUUUAUACAAAUUAAUCGGUAGUUUGAAAUUAACUGGGAAAUAUGUCUUAAUGGGAUAUGAGCAAGGAAUGGAGGAUAUUACAAAAUAGAAGAGCCAUAAUUUCAGGAAGAAAAAUGUUAGCAAACUUAAUAACAAGCAUGUAUAUUUCAACAAGUCUGUGUAUUUCAUCUUAUUUUUCUCAUUUUGCCACAGAUCCUCAUAGGGCCUUAAAUUGAGAUGGGCAUUUGGAAACUUCUGCUUUAAAACUUAGGAAGAUUCCUAAGUGUCUUCUGACAAAAGCUGAUAGAUUUAUAAUAGUGUAGUUUUAUGUAUUUUUUGUAGUCUAUGGUACUUUUAUUUGAAAUUCUUUGAAAAUUGGUCAUUCAUGUAUGAUAUACAUGACAACUAAACUCAUUAAUUGGAAAAGCCCACUCUUUAACCAUUGUCUUAAUGAUUAAAUGUGUUUUUCCAUUUGUAUGUGAAAAUAUACAAACUUUUAAAACAAUGAAAAUGAGUUUCUUAAUAUGAAUGGUAAACAUUAAAACUUGUUAAUAUUCAUUAAGUUCAAAAUGGAUCAAAAUUUUUCAUAUAUUUCUGAGACUUGAAAAUGAAAAGAUUAAGAAUGACUGGUAAACUAAUAAAGGUUAUUGUGAACACCAGAUUAAGGAAUCUCUGUAUUUUCCCUUUUCUAACGGUAUUUUCCAGGGCAGAACAUUUCACUUCUUACAACAUUGUUAAAUGUGGAGUGAGACCCCUGUUUGAAUUCCAGUUCUGUCACUUUCCAGUUUUUUUUUGUUUUUUUAAAUUGAGACGGGGUCUGACUGUGUCGUCUAGGCUGGACUGCAGUGGUUCACUGCAACCUCUGCCUCCUGAGCUCAAGCCAUCCUCCCACCUCAGCCUCUGAAGUAGCUGGGACUACAGACACACACCACCACAUCUGGCUAAUUUUUGUGUGUGUGUGUGUGUAUUUUUUGUAGAGAUAUGGUUUUGCCAUGUUGCCAAGCUGGUCUCAAACUCCUGAGCUCAAGCAGUCCACCCACCUCAGCCUCCUGAAGUGCUGGGAUUACAGGUUUGAGCCACCCUGCCCAGCCUGUAGUUUCCUUAGAGAAUUUAACCUGUGUAUCUCAGUUUCUUCAUCUGCAAAAUGGGGAUAAUAAUCAUACCUACUUGAUUAAGUUGUUGAGAGGAGUAAGCAAUGCUGUGUAUUGUGCAUUUAGAGCACUUGGCAUAUAGUAAGGACUCAAUAUAAACUCUUGUUAAAAGUGAUAAGCACUUUUUAAUAACCAUAUUAACAAGAUGCAGUUUUCAAUCAGGAGCUAUCUUUAAAGACUAAAGCCCUGCUAAGGGGAUCAGGUGGAACAGUGUCUAGGAAUAGGGAUAUUCUUGAAUAGCAGCCUGUUAGAAGAAUAGGAAAGUCUCUUUGGGAGGCCGAGGCAGGUGGAUCACAAGGUCAGGAGAUCGAGACCAUCCUGGCUAACACAGUGAAACCCCGUCUCUACUAAAAAUACAAAAAAUUAGCCAGGCAUGGUGGCACGCGCCUGUAGUCUCAGCUACUCAGGAGGCUGAGGCAGGAGAAUGGCGUGAACCCGGGAGGUGGAGCUUGCAGUGAGCCGAGAUUGCGUCACUGCACUCCAGUCUGGGCAAGAGAGCGAGACUCCAUCUCAAAAAUAAGUAAAUAAAUAAAAUAAGAAAGUUUCUGUUUCUAGCACAGGUGCUGAGAGACAAAGGGGAAAAAUAUUGUUCAACAUUAAGCAGUCAGUAGAAGCUUGAUAGGCUUGGGGAAAAAAUUCAACAGUCAAGAUAUUGCGGUGUUAGGUAUGGAACUGCCACACACAUAUUCACAUAAGGGGUGACACCAUGUAGGACUUGUAGUCUCAACACUUGGCAUCUCAAUUUAGGAGAAUAUUAUAAACAGGGGCCUCUACUUUUGGUAGUAAAAAGCUCCGUGCUGGAACAUAACUAUCGGAGACACUUGGAACAUGAACAUGGCCUCUAACACAUACCCUUUUAAUUUCUUACAGACCUUGAAAUAGACAAAAAAAUGUUUAUUGAUACCUCUUACUUUUCCACAUUUUGUUGUUUUGUACAACCCUAUGCCUUGUCAUGGAGAAAGAGAUGUUUAAUUUUAAAUCUCGUUCUCAGGUAAUAUUUGGUAGUAGCUGGAGUCUCAAAGGCAUUUAAAUUUCUUUUUAUUGCCUUUUAUUCAUAAACAUUUAACCGUAUUUUUUUAGUAUGAAUGGGGUUCCUUUUUAGUUUCACAUUUCACUGUAAUUUAAAAUGUUUCAAAAAUGUAUUCUAAUGAAGUAAAUAAUAGAAAUCUGGGUAGCAUAUAAUCCUUGAAAUUAAGCUGUUGUGUAGAGACUGCUAAUUGACCACCAGUAUUCACUCCCAUAAUUUAAAAGUGAAACUCUCGCACAUUUUGUUUGGCUACACAGCUGCUCAGAGUCUACAUCUUCUUUUUCUUUUUUUUUUUUGAGAUGGAGUUUCACUCUUGUUGCCCAGGCUGGAGCUCAAUGGCGCGAUCUCGGCUCACUGCAACCUCCGCCUACCGGGUUCAAGCGAUUCCCCCGCCUCAGCUUCCCAAGUAGCUGGGAUUACAGGCAUGCACCACCACGCCCAGCUAAUUUUGUAUUUUUAGUAGAGACGGGGUUUCUCCAUGUUGGUCAGGCUGGUGUCGAACUCCUGACCUCAGGUGAUCUGCCCGCCUCGGCCUCCCAAAGUGCUAGGAUUACAGGCAUGAACGACCACGCCCAGCCAGAGUCUGCAUUUUCUAGCCACCUCAUUUGUAGUUAAGUUCUAGCCAAUGGGAUGUAAGUGAAAGUGAUGCAUGUGACUUUGAGAUCAUGUCCUUAAAAGUACUGGGGCUUGCAACAGGUAUAUGAAAAAAUGCUCAACAUCACUAAUCAUCAGGGGAAUGCAAAUUAAAGCCACAACGAGACAUCAUCUCAUACCUGUUAAAGUGGCCAUAAUAAAGACAAAAGAUAAGAGUUGGCGAGGGUAUGGAGAAAAGGGAAGUCUUGCACAUUGUUGGUGGGAAUGUAAAUCAGUUCAGCCAUCAUGGAAAACAGUUAUGGAGAUUCCUAAAGAAAAUAAAAAAUAGAACAACCAUAUCAUCCAGCAGUCCCAUUACUGGGUAUAAAUACAAGGGAAAUGAAAUCAGUAAUCAAAGAGAUAGCUACAUUCUUGUGUUCAUUGCAGGAUUAUUCACAAUAGCCAAGAUAAGGAAUCAAUCUAAGUGUCCAUCAAUUGGUGAAUGGAUUAAGAAAAUGUGAUAUAUAUACAUAAGGGAAUACUAUUCAGCCUUCAAAAAAGAAGGAAAUCUUGUCAUUUUUGGCUACGUGAAUGAACCUGGAGGAUAUUAUGUUAAGUGAAAUAAGCCAGGCACAGAAAGACAAAUACCACAUGAUCUCAUAAGUGGAAUCUAAAAAGUUAAAGUCAGAGAGUAGAAUGGCAGCUACCAGGAGAUGGGGGGUGGGGGGAAUUGGGAGUUAUUGGUCACGGCAUACAAAAUUUUAGGAAUAAAGUUCAACACAUCUAUUGUAGAACAUGGAGACUAUAGUUAAUAACAAUGCAGUGCCUGUAGUCCCAGCUAUUAGGAAGGCUGAGGCAGGAGGAUCACUUGAGCCCAGGAGUUCCAGGCUGCAGUGACCCCUGGUCACACCACUGCACUCCAGCCUGGCUACAGAGUGAGACCCUGACUCCAAAAACAAACAACAAUGUGUACUUGAAAAUUGCGAAGAGAGAUUUUAAGUGUUUUCACAAGUAUGUGAGGUCAUGCAUAUGUUAAUCAACUUGAUUUAGCCAUUUCACUAUACAUAUUUUGAACAGUAUGUUGUACGCCAUAAAUAUAUACAAUUUUUGUCAAUUUUAAAAAUAGAUUUUUAAAAACUACUGGAGCAUGCAUUUCCCUUGCCCUGCCUCUCCUUCUGUUGAGGUAGGAGUGAGAAUUCUGCAGCCAUUUCAGACACUGAGAGACAAGUUGUCUGUCAAGUUUGACAAAGCAGCUGUAUCGGCUGUGGACCACUCACCUCUGUAAUUUGAGAAAUAAACUUUUAUUGUGUUUAA
rnacentral:lncRNA from 1 species